UGGUCAUUACCAAGGCUUUUAGAAUGCAGUUUCUCAUUUGCUGUGGACAUGACCAUAAAGAAAAAAAUCCCAUGAGGGUUUUCAUAUGCUUCUUGACUAGCAGUUAACCUGUUGGGAACAUGU
rnacentral:snoRNA from 1 species